rnacentral:tRNA from 1 species
GUGCUUGUAGCUCAGUUGGAUAGAGUGUUGGCCUCCGAAGCCAAAGGUCGUGGGUUCGAUUCCCGCCAAGCACGCCA